AAUAAAAGCAGGAAACUAAUGUGUAAAAGAGAUGAGAAACAUUUACAUUUAAGGAACCGACAGUUUCUAGAGCAAGUGGCAAAGGGCAUGGUGGUUGGUAACCCGAGACCUAAGUUCGAAUCCUAAUUGAUUCGCAUUUCUAGCUAAGUUUAUUUCUAAAUGAAAUAAAUGAAGCGGGUAACGUGCUAUUUAUCUCUCAAAAAAAAAUAUUUACAUUUAAGGAAAUACACGAUGGAUUGCUCUAACAUUAUCUGAAAAAUUAA
rnacentral:lncRNA from 1 species